rnacentral:rRNA from 1 species
AUUGAACGCUAGCGGGAUGCUUUACACAUGCAAGUCGAACGGCAGCGCGGACUUCGGUCUGGCGGCGAGUGGCGAACGGGUGAGUAAUGUAUCGGAACGUGCCCAGUAGCGGGGGAUAACUACGCGAAAGCGUAGCUAAUACCGCAUACGCCCUACGGGGGAAAGCCGGGGAUCGUAAGACCUUGCCCUAUUGGAGCGGCCGAUAUCGGAUUAGCUAGUUGGUGAGGUAACGGCUCACCAAGGCGACGAUCCGUAGCUGGUUUGAGAGGACGACCAGCCACACUGGGACUGAGACACGGCCCAGACUCCUACGGGAGGCAGCAGUGGGGAAUUUUGGACAAUGGGGGCAACCCUGAUCCAGCCAUCCCGCGUGUGCGAUGAAGGCCUUCGGGUUGUAAAGCACUUUUGGCAGGAAAGAAACGUCGCGGGCUAAUACCCCGUGGAACUGACGGUACCUGCAGAAUAAGCACCGGCUAACUACGUG